CUGUCUCCUUCAGUUUUUAGUAGUUGAAGGUGAAGUUGGUUCGUUGUUUGUUUAUCCUUUAUUUUAUCACGUCAUCAAGUUGAUGAUGAUUUUUGAUUGCUGAAGGUCUUAAAUUAAGACGAAGGUGGGAAUAGAACUGCAGAUACAUAUUAUACUAAAAUCCACCAUGACAGAUGAAUAUGAUGCCAAGGAUUAGAUUUGAAAAAAGUUCUUCUCCCCUCUACAUUUGAUGAAAGCCAUUUUCAGCAAAGGUGGGAAUAGAACUGCAGACGCAUAUACCAAAAUCCACCAUGACAGAUGAAUAUGCUGCCAACUACAGUUUUAGAUUUAAAACUCCUUUCUAAAUCUGAUGGAAACCAUUUUCAG